CUUUGCUCUCUUAUUUUGGGUAUUGCUGGUGUUCCAGACCUGUGUGGUCUGACAAAGAAACUACAGGACCAAAACCUUAUUGUGUUCUGUUUGAUUUUUGUAAUGACUACUCAAUCCUCCAAAUAUCAAUAUAAUGGGAAUAGAGAUACACUCUGAUUACACUCUGAUCCUCUUCUAGCUACACCAACUUGAUUAUACAUCCCAGUGGAUCCCAAAUAAGAAAUUCAGGUUCCCUUAAAUCAAAAUGCCUGCUUCUUUGUCACAUCAUUAAGAAAAAGCUAGGAAUCUGAUUAAUAGCAGACCUCCAGGCCUCUUUCGCAAAGACAAGAGAAACUCUACAAAGAAAUCAACAGCCAUUCAGGAAAUGCAAGCCUUAGAGGAGAUAAAGAAAAAGGGCUGGAUGAGUUGAGGUCAAGGAACUGGAGGAGCCAGAAUGGGACAAAUCUGAGCAAAAGAACUCGCUAGUGGGCCAGUUCCCCAUUUGUGAUCUAACAGAAAAUUAUUAUGAAAGGAAGCUUACAUAUGCCAAGAACUGCAGCAUAUCUUGUGCAUCUAAUUACAAGCCAUGUACAGUUAGAGAGUGGAUCUACAGCUGCUAAUCCCUUCUGACUUCCACAUGAAUUGAAAUGCGCAGCUGAUAAGUAUUAGGUCACAGGUUCAUCUCAUUCACUGAGAAAAGUCACCAAGUCAUGGCAAAUUGCUUCAGAGCCCAGUGGGCUCCAUUCAAAACCUACUUUCAGUUUUGGAGGCUUUUGUGGGAUUUACCUAUGGUUGUAUCCAAGUGACAGCUAAAUGUCUUUCAGAAGCUUGAUGUAAAAUACACUGAGAUCCACUGAAAAUCUUCUCGUUUAAUUUGGACUAGCCCAAAAUUUUAAUUAAGUUUUCAAGUCAGGCUCUGCCUCCUAUUAGCUCAUGAAGUUGACUUUGUCACACCAAUGUGGCAUGAGACAUUACAUCAGUUAAAUGUGGCUGGAUUGCAUUGACUUGCUCUUGCGCAUCUAUCUACUCUGUGCAUAAUGCUGGGAUGUUUGUUAGAGUUUUCCUUCUUCCUGGAGAUACCUACUUAUACGUUCUGUCAGUAUGCACGCACAUAUAUAGUCUCCUUACAACUACUUGGAACUGUUGUUUUCAUAUCCAAGCACAUCACACAUUUAAACUGUGAACAAAUAUAGGAAGCUAUCUUUGACUCCUUAUGCCCAGAAGAAAGAAUAAAAGGAAAAACAUGCAUUUUUGAGUAGGAGAAAAAAGGAUUGCUCUCAGGAGAUUUUCUCUUCAGAUACUGUGAUGAGUAAUGCUGCUGUCAGUUAUUAGGUUAUUCAGGAAUUAGCUUAAAAAAAAAAAGCUUAAUUUUAGCCUCUUUUUUUUUGGAUUGUUGUCAUUUCUAAUCCAGUGAAAAUAGGUAUCCCCCAUUGAAAUGAAGAACUCUCAGCUGGAUGUAAAAUCAAUGUCAAUUAAGAUCACAGUAGUGAUUAAGGACUUCCCACCCUGGGUCUUCAUUUGAUAUUUUACUAGUACUCUGGGAGAGAUGUAUGCAAGCAAUUUUUUUUUUAAGUAAUGGGAAGUUUCCCUACAGUAUUUGCUUUUGUACCUUUAGUAUAAGUCACCAAUUACUGAAAUAAGUAUUUUUUUCUUAUAUCUAUGUUUUCAUAGCAUAGUAUUAGGGACUGUAAUGAAUUGAUGGAUUGAUAUAGAAUCAUAGAAUGGCUUGGGUUGGAAGGGACACUUAAGGAUCAUCUAGUUCCAAAGUACUUGCCAUGGGCUGGGACACCUUCCUCUAGACCAGGUUGCUCAAAUCUGUUAUUUAGUAGCUGUUCUUGGAGAAUGUAGAAUGUACCAUAUUUUUUAAAAUUUGUGUUAAUUAUUUGAUGUGUGACUUUCUUCAAUAAAAUCCCUCUCCCUGAAUGAGAGAAUAGUAUGAGACAUAAAACCUGAAUUGAUGGCAAUAAGAAUGGGAUUUAUGUCUUGUAAUUUAAACAAAAAAAGUAUGCCUCUGAAAUCAGUUAAGUAGUUAAGGUCCUUCUCUAUGAUAUGAAAAUAACAUGGCAAUUCAAUCCACCUAUUUUAGGUACCAGUUUUAGAAUGAAUUGCCCUUUGGAAGUCACUUCUCACUCCAUUGCAGGGAGAGGAAACUUGGGAAGAGAGGGAAGACAGGAAAGAAAAAAAAAAAAGCAAUCGACUGAGCUAAUUUUGCCCUCUGAUAUUCAGUGUGAUAUGGAAUGCAGACUAAGAACAUAAUUCUAGGUUGUAAACUUCAUUAAAAUGAAUGAGACUGCCAGCUCCCAUUCCUCUAAGAAUAUUUUAAGUGGUUAAUUUUAUGGGUUGAUCCCAUGCACUUACUGGAUUUCAUGGUCAAGGUGUCAUUCAGAUUUAGAAAGGAGGAAGAGAAACUUAAGUGUCAGGGUUUGUAAAGGUAAGAGAUGUCAAGUGAACUCUUUCUGCAUGGUGUCCCCUGCACUUUUGCUCUCCCUUCACACUGUUUCAUAAGUCUGUUUUCUUUGUGCUGAUGCUGCUGGGGAAAGGCUGUAAAAGUGAUAUGAGAGCUUGGAUCUUCAUGUAUAGGCUGAGGAAUUCUGUGACCUGAACAUGGAAACUUUGCUUCCACAAGCUGAAUUUUGAGGUGCAUAGAACUGAUCAGAUGGUUUCAGCCCCCACCUAUGUUGGCAGAUCUGUGUUUGAGAACAGCCACCAUUUCUGGCACUAAUUGCAAAAUCUCCCAAGAGAGCCCUGCAUAGGGAAAGAGAAUAAAUUGCUUCCUAAAGUUCAGCAUUAGGAAGUGUACAGGGAGGCAUCAUAGGAGAAUUUUUGCUGCUCCCAUCUAUAAUAAGGUUAAAAGGUAACUUGAUCACAUUCUCUCAGUAUCUCCAGGGAGAAUGUCAAGUAUAUAGCACAGAGGUGGGAGAGGGCUCAUUAAUUUUAGACAAAGUCAUAACAAGAAACAGUAGCUGGAGAUUGAAACUUGAUGAAUUAAAAAUGAAAGGAGGAUUUUUUUAUUUCUAAUUUAUUUUUUUUAACAGAGGUAAUUAACAACUUGGCCUGACCACUCAGAGGAAAUUCAAAGUUUUCCAUCAUUUUCAAUCUUUAAAUUGCAAUGAGAUAGUUUUCUAAGAGGGCAGAUUCAACCAUUCCAGAAGUUAUUGAACUGAGUAGAGGAAUUCCUGUGUGGAGUGUUGUCAUAAACAUUACCAACACUAGCUGUGUGUAAUAUAGCCUUUCAAGGCUAUUUUGUUGAAUGUUGAGUUCUUAUGAUAUUUUACCUGCACAUUUCUGCAUGCAUGUACACUUCUUCUGGGCUAUUUGUGCAGUUCUCUUAAUUUUUAACUGCACCAUAAACAACUGCCUUCAUAACAGUGCUGCUCGAAAGCAAAAUUGAGGAAAAAGUGCAAAUUGUUGUGGCUCUUGUAACUCAUUCUCAAGCUUCUCUCUGAGAUUCUCUGAACUCCGUCCUAACAGACAGCAACGUGUCUUAAAUCCACAUCUUUGUAGGAAGAAAAUAUUCAUGUCUCUGGGGCUUUUCUUAGUCUGUCCUUAUUGUCCUUGUAAUUCCUAGACGUUCCUUGUACAGUCUUCUCUCUGUAAAUCUACAAGUUCUUUCAAUGACAUUUUUCCUUCUCCAUGGGCUCAUUUCUCUGGCCUCAGUCCAAUGAAGAUCUAAAUGACCUCCUUACACACUAAUCAAUUAUCCUCACUUUCUAUCAGCUGCAGGUGGAAGUUCUACCAUGCUGUAGAGGAUGAGCAGAGCAAUGAGCUUGCUAGAGCAAAAGAGGGAGAUGAGAUAAAACAAGAUAUGUGUUUAGCACCCGUAUCAGGAAUCAGCACUCAUUUUCAUAAUGAAUUUGCCUGUGUUCAUCAUCACUGCAGCCUUUCAUUAGAAAGAUGACAGCUGAGGUUUCUGUGUCUGCCAUUUCCAUGGUACCCCAGCAGUAGGUUGCUCAAGCAAAGAUCUCUUACUUUAAUCACUGUUGGGAAGUGUUGGGUUGUGGGUGGGACUGGGGAUGUUUCUGGCAAGAUAGGGAAGAGAAGAGAAUUAAAGGAAAGCUUUCUGUGCCUACACCUUGUCAGCUUACCACUAAUAUAUGUGCUUCUGAACUCUUCUUAACUCACUUCUUUAUUGAUUUAUUUCCACACGUGGUACUUCAUGAUGAAGGAAUACUGUUCACCCUUCCCCCUGAAAUAUGGUUACCUCUGCGGGGGAUUGUGAUAUGUAUUUAGUGCCAACCAGACAAAUGAUAUUUCAGAAAAAGAUGAUGGGAAAAACAGCAGAUUUGGCUGACGUAUAGCAGAAACUAAGGAAGUAGAAACAUUGCCACACCAUUUGUGGAGUCCAUUUAAACAAUAUAUAAACACAGUAUGCUCAUGUGGCUAAACAGGCUUUGUCUGUAUCUGGUUUAGGGAAGUACAAAUCUGGGCUUUUUAGCCACACACUUCAAGACUUUGAUAUUAGUUUACAGGAAAUAAUUCAUCUUUCAGGAAAGUUGGUGGGAGAGCCAACUAAGCUGAAUUGUCAGGUUUAGGUAAGCUGGUUUUCAAACACCUGGUUGACAACACCUGCCAGUGUUGUCCCUUGGCAGUAGCCAGGGACUAUAUGUCAUCUGUAUGAAGGAGCACAGAAGUGCAAUUGUUUUUCUUUGCUGGAUGGGAUUUAUCUGAUGAGUCUUCUGUUGUCUCUUUGGCAGCACAAAGUGCUCAAAAAAAGAGGCUUUGAAAAAAGUAGUAUUUAUGUGUAGAUAGAAGCUAGCAAUGCACACAGAGUGGCUUCGCUCGAGAUGUAAAGGCAUCGAAGCUUUGCUUUAUAUGCUUCAGCUUUUCCAGUCUUAGCAGACAUAAGUACUGGGUGAGGUCUCAUGUAAAGUGGAGACAGAGGAAUGAUUAUCUGUUUAUCUUUCUUUCCUUUCAGAGCGGAACAAUGAAAUCAACAGAACACUCCUCCCCUCCUUCUCUCUUCCUAGCAAAUAAACCUUGUUUUAGAAAAAUUAGAAUGCAUAGUGGAUAAAGGAAGGUCACCUAGGUCUUGGAUCUGCUUCCUUCAUUAGCAGCAAAUUGUCAUGUAGUGAUUGCUCCUUCUAGUAUCAGUGCUGGAGCAUUUAACUAGUCAGAAGAGCUUACAGAUGCCACAUGAGAAAGCCAGUGAUGCAUUUAAUAUAUUGCAGGAAUCAUAAAUAGCUAAGACAAGGGCUGGUUAUUGCUUAGUUCAAUAUUGUUGUUUAAUAGGAACUCUAAAUACACUCUGCUGGGUUAAAUAUUGUACUAUUAACUUCAGAGAUAAUGAUCUUUCUAGAUUGAAUGAGGGACAAUCAUAUUAUGGUGUGAUGCAUUUCUCUGAGCUCCCCAUAUGUGAGCAGGGUAAUUGAGGGGACAAGCAAUUCUGUAAGCCAUCCUGAGGGUCAAAUUCUCUCAUUGUACAGGCUUUCCAUUCCCAGAGAGGUCAGGAGGACUUGCUCUAUGAAUAUAAAAGCAUUAGAUGUCCUGCUUUGUAUAUUUGUAAAGCACCCAUGAACUCAGUGUCCCAGUCUGUGGAUAUUAUCAAUCUCUAACUAAUUAUAUUUAUUCCACAAAACUGCGUAUUAGUUCCAAAGACAGCAAUUUAUCUAGGCUUUUCCCUCAUCCUUUCUUAUAAGUAACUAUUUGAAUGAUGAAAUUAGUUGUCUGUGUUGAUCUUUUCCUUUCUCUCUUGUCUAAGUGAGCUAGAAGAAAAACAAAAAAGGGCUCAGUAGAGAAAGGAGUCCUGUUUCUAAAACAGCAGUAACGUUCUUGGAAAAUGUCCUACCCUUAAACCCAGCUGAAUAGUUCAAUGAUGACAUAGAUCACAUAGACUGUAGGAGUGGAAGCUUUUAUGAUAUAUAGGAAUACAUUUUUAGCUGGCCAAACAGAAAGGAAACCUGGAGGAUGAAAGAAAUGCCCACAAUUGCAAGCCACUGUUGCUUGCAACAGUCUAUUCACUUAACUUAUAUUGUGCAUUUGGUACUGGAUUGCCUCUCUUUUUCUACUUAUGUUCUCAAUUCCUGUUUUGUUCAGUGCUGUAUUUAAAUGCUUCAUUUAAAGGAUUCAGAGUUACUGGGAAGAGGAAAUUACAUGCAUGCAUAUACACGUGUGUAUAUAUUAUAUAUAUAUAAAGUCAGUAACAAGGCCUUUUUUUGUAGGUUUUUCUGUUUCUGUUUGAGAUUUAACCCUUUACCCUCAUUAUGUUUUUGCUUUAAAUUCAGGGCUUUUAGAUAGCAAAUUAAUGCUGUCUAUAUUGACAAACGCUACCAAAAGUUGGCAUUUGGUAGUCAGGAGGAACUUACAUCUCAAUUCUGUUAUCCCUGCUCCAAAUGACCAUUUGAAUUUGUAUGAUGGACUUUCCAGGUCUGCAAAAACUUCACACAGACAUAUUGAAGGAAGAUUGAGUUGGUUAGUUAUGUGAACCAUUUCCUAACUUUUUGUUGUAAGACACAGAACUUUGUGAAUCUCUUCAAGUCAAAAUUAAAUGUAAUUUACCUUACUUGCUCUGUUUUCCUGAGUAAUGGUGAAUUGGGAAUG